rnacentral:ncRNA from 1 species
GAUUUCUCUGCUAGGAAAGGUGUCAUCCCAGUGCUUGACUACUUGGAUCCAGGAAAGUUUGCUUGUUUACAAGCGAACUAGCAUAGAAAGUGGUUACAACGUUUUCGAUGAGAUUAUAUGGAAAACUGGAUUCCAGUGUCAAGCACUGGAAUGACAUCACAGGGGCACUGGGAUGA